rnacentral:rRNA from 1 species
AACGCGAAGAACCUUACCUGGGUUUGAAAUGCAAGUGACCGCCUCAGAAAUGAGGUUUUCCCGCAAGGGACACUUGCACAGGUGCUGCAUGGCUGUCGUCAGCUCGUGCCGUGAGGUGUUGGGUUAAGUCCCGCAACGAGCGCAACCCUUGUCGUUAGUUGCCAGCAUGUAAUGGUGGGCACUCUAGCGAGACUGCCUCGGUUAACGGGGAGGAAGGUGAGGAUGACGUCAAGUCCGCAUGGCCUUUAUGUCCAGGGCUACACACGUACUACAAUGGUCGGUACAGAAGGGAGCGAAGCCGUGAGGUGAAGCAAAUCCUCAAAGCCGGCCCCAGUUCAGAUUGUAGUCUGCAACUCGACUACAUGAAGAUGGAAUUGCUAGUAAUGGCAGGUCAGCAGUACUGCCGUGAAUACGUUCCCGGGCCUUGUA